rnacentral:rRNA from 1 species
AGUGAACGCUGGCGGCAGGCCUAACACAUGCAAGUCGAACGGCAGCACAGUAAGAGCUUGCUCUUACGGGUGGCGAGUGGCGGACGGGUGAGGAAUACAUCGGAAUCUACUUUUUCGUGGGGGAUAACGUAGGGAAACUUACGCUAAUACCGCAUACGACCUACGGGUGAAAGCAGGGGAUCUUCGGACCUUGCGCGAUUGAAUGAGCCGAUGUCGGAUUAGCUAGUUGGCGGGGUAAAGGCCCACCAAGGCGACGAUCCGUAGCUGGUCUGAGAGGAUGAUCAGCCACACUGGAACUGAGACACGGUCCAGACUCCUACGGGAGGCAGCAGUGGGGAAUAUUGGACAAUGGGCGCAAGCCUGAUCCAGCCAUACCGCGUGGGUGAAGAAGGCCUUCGGGUUGUAAAGCCCUUUUGUUGGGAAAGAAAAGCAGCAGGUUAAUACCCCGCUGUUCUGACGGUACCCAAAGAAUAAGCACCGGCUAACUUCGUGC